rnacentral:tRNA from 16 species
UCCGUUGUGGUCUAGUGGUUAGGAUUUAUGGCUCUCACCCAUAACACAGGUGAAGGGCUUCAAAUCCAUAUCGGAU